rnacentral:rRNA from 1 species
UGGGGGAUAUUGCACAAUGGAGGAAACUCUGAUGCAGCAACGCCGCGUGAGGGAAGACGGUCUUCGGAUUGUAAACCUAAGUUAUCAGGGACGAACAAGAUGACGGUACCUGAAGAGAAAGCUCCGGCUAACUACGUGCCAGCAGCCGCGGUAAUACGUAGGGAGCGAGCGUUGUCCGGAUUUACUGGGUGUAAAGGGUGCGUAGGCGGGUCGGCAAGUCAGGCGUGAAAUCCCGCGGCUUAACUGCGGGGCUGCGCUUGAAACUGUCGAUCUUGAGUGAAGUAGAGGCAAGCGGAAUUCCUAGUGUAGCGGUGAAAUGCGUAGAUAUUAGGAGGAACACCAGUGGCGAAGGCGGCUUGCUGGGCUUUAACUGACGCUGAGGCACGAAAGCAUGGGGAGCAAAC